GGCUCAGUUGGUAGAGCAUCACCUUGCCAAGGUGAGGGUCGCGAGCCGGGAGGUGACCUCCUCCA
rnacentral:tRNA from 1 species